rnacentral:rRNA from 1 species
AGUAAUACAUCGGAACGUGUCUUCUAGUGGGGGAUAACUGCCCGAAAGGGCAGCUAAUACCGCAUGAGACCUGAGGGUGAAAGCGGGGGAUCGCAAGACCUCGCGCUGGAAGAGCGGCCGAUGUCCGAUUAGCUAGUUGGUGAGGUAAAGGCUCACCAAGGCGACGAUCGGUGGCUGGUCUGAGAGGACGACCAGCCACACUGGGACUGAGACACGGCCCAG